UACGUAGGAGGCAAGCGUUAUCCGGAAUGACUGGGCGUAAAGGGUGCGUAGGUGGUUUGACAAGUUGGUAGCGUAACUCCGGAGCUCAACUUCGGAACUACUACCAAAACUGUUGGACUCGAGUGCAGGAGGGGCAACUGGAAUUUCUAGUGUAGCGGUGGAAUGCGUAGAUAUUAGGAGGAACACCAGUGGCGAAGGCGGCUUCUGGACGAAAACUGACGCUGAGGUACGAAAGCGUGGGGAGCAAACAGGG
rnacentral:rRNA from 1 species